rnacentral:rRNA from 1 species
UACGAAGGGGGCUAGCGUUGCUCGGAAUGACUGGGCGUAAAGGGCGCGUAGGCGGAUUGGACAGUCAGGCGUGAAAUUCCUGGGCUCAACCUGGGGGCUGCGCUUGAGACGUCUGGUCUGGAGUGGGGAAGAGGGUCGUGGAAUUCCCAGUGUAGAGGUGAAAUUCGUAGAUAUUGGGAAGAACACCGGUGGCGAAGGCGGCGACCUGGUCCUUGACUGACGCUGAGGCGCGAAAGCGUGGGGAGCAAACAGG